rnacentral:rRNA from 1 species
AUUGAACGCUGGCGGCAGGCCUAACACAUGCAAGUCGAGCGGUAGCACAGAGAGCUUGCUCUCGGGUGACGAGCGGCGGACGGGUGAGUAAUGUCUGGGAAACUGCCUGAUGGAGGGGGAUAACUACUGGAAACGGUAGCUAAUAGCGCAUAAUGUCGCAAGACCAAAGUGGGGGACCUUCGGGCCUCAUGCCAUCAGAUGUGCCCAGAUGGGAUUAGCUAGUAGGUGGGGUAACGGCUCACCUAGGCGACGAUCCCUAGCUGGUCUGAGAGGAUGACCAGCCACACUGGACCUGAGACACGGUCCAGACUCCUACGGGAGUCAGCAGUGGGGAAUAUUGCACAAUGGGCGCAAGCCUGAUGCAGCCAUGCCGCGUGUGUGAAGAAGGCCUUCGGGUUGUAAAGCACUUUCAGCGGGGAGGAAGGCGUUAAGGUUAAUAACCUUGUCGAUUGACGUUACCCGCAGAAGAAGCACCGGCUAACUCCGUGCCAGCCGCCGCCGUAA